CAGCCGCCGCGGUAAUUCGUAGGGUGCAAGCGUUGUCCGGAAUUAUUGGGCGUAAAGAGCUUGUAGGCGGUUUGUCGCGUCUGCUGUGAAAUUUCGGGGCUCAACCCCGAACUUGCAGUGGGUACGGGCAGACUAGAGUGUGGUAGGGGAGACUGGAAUUCCUGGUGUAGCGGUGAAAUGCGCAGAUAUCAGGAGGAACACCGAUGGCGAAGGCAGGUCUCUGGGCCAUAACUGACGCUGAGAAGCGAAAGCAUGGGGAGCGAACAGGAUUAGAUACCCUGGUAGUCCAUGCCGUAAACGUUGGGAACUAGGUGUGGGCCUCAUUCCACGAGGUCCGUGCCGCAGCUAACGCAUUAAGUUCCCCGCCUGGGGAGUACGGCCACAAGGCUAAAACUCAAAGGAAUUGACGG
rnacentral:rRNA from 1 species